GGAGUUGGUGGCGGAGAUGUGGGAAUGGGUGUAGGGAGUGGGUGUUUGGCCGGAGGUUUUAGGUACAAGUGGGUGAGUGAUUAAGUGUUUGGUGGCUGCAUUUUCAUGUUUUUACUAUUCUUUUUAACUUUUUUUUUCUGUUUAAAUUUUUUUUUUUAAAGUUUUCACUUUUUUUUUUGUUUUUAUAGUUUUUGAAACUUUAACACGUGUGCUUCACAGAUGUGCCACGCGAACAAAUUAGUAGAAAUUAUAACAUAAUUGGGAAACAAAGAACAAUUGAUUAGUCGGUAGAAGGCAAAAUUGAUGAGUUUAA
rnacentral:lncRNA from 1 species